CCACACAUCCUUCAAUUUUGAAUAAUACAUACAUACAUAUGAAGUGCCUUAGGUCAGUGUGGUUAUUUCUUUGUGCAAGUUAAAUAUUCUUGCAUCAUCUACCUUAUAAAACCUUUCAUAUAGAUCAUUAACCACCUGAGUGUUAGAGGCAUACAUUGUGCCACCAAGAAGAGUGCUAUUUAGAGAAUUCAUGAUCCAUGACAGUACGAUAGCAUUUACUCUCUCCCAAUAAUUUUUCAUAGCUGCAGGAAAGUUUUCUUUCCUACAAGAACCAUCUACCAUCCCCAAUUUGUUCCUUCCUAGCAAAGCAACACACAUUGAUCGAUACCAAACAGAGUAGUUCUCGAUCCCUGUUAGUUGAAAAGAGAUAAUCUAUAUACCACUCACAUUUGAGGGAUGAAGAAACAAAGGUGAUUAUAUUCAAUACUUGUUGGCUGAUUGGAUACUCCAGUAGAUGUUUGAUUCAAAUGACAAUUAUUGUCUUGUUGAUCACCCAUUUUGCAGAUCUUGAAUUUUCGAUACAACCAUGAACUGUAAGGAUAUGAAUUUGAAUUGUGGAAUUAGAUUAAAUAAAAGCUGGAUUUUGCUUUGAUUGCUCUGAUACCAUGUUCUAAUUUCAAGAUGAUUGAUGAAUAUCACUGAUUUAAUGACUGAGGAGGAAGCAGAAGAAGACAUAGCAGAGAGUAGGAUGAAAAAGAAGAGAAGAAUAUUAGAGAAAGUUA
rnacentral:lncRNA from 1 species